GACGAACGCUGGCGGCGUGCUUAACACAUGCAAGUCGAACGGAAAGGCCCUGCUUUUGUGGGGUGCUCGAGUGGCGAACGGGUGAGUAACACGUGAGUAACCUGCCCUUGACUUUCGGAUAACUUCAGGAAACUGGGGCUAAUACCGGAUAGGAGCUCCUGCUGCAUGGUGGGGGGUGGAAAGUUUCGGCGGUUGGGGAUGGACUCGCGGCUUAUCAGCUUGUUGGUGGGGUAGUGGCUUACCAAGCCUGUGACGGGUAGCCGGCCUGAGAGGGUUAACGGCCACAUUGGUACUGAGAGACGGACCAGACGCCUACGGGAGGCAGCAGGGGGGAAUAUUGCACAAUGGGCGGAAGCCUGAUGCAGCAACGCCGCGUUCGGGAUGACGGCCUUCGGGUUGUAAACCGCUUUCGCCUGUGACGAAGCGUGAGUGACGGUAAUGGGUAAAGAAGCACCGGCUAACUACGUG
rnacentral:rRNA from 1 species